rnacentral:rRNA from 1 species
GACGAACGUUGGCGGCGUGCUUAAUACAUGCAAGUCAACUGAAGCAGUGGUAGCAAUCUCGCUGUGGAGGUGGCGCACGGGUGAGUAACACGUAGGUAAUCUGCCUUCAGGUCUGGCAUAACUCCGGGAAACCGGGGCUAAUAGCAGAUGAUGCAGCGGCUCGACAUCGAGACAGUUGUUAAAGCUAUGGCGCCUGAAGAUGAGCCUGCGUCUGAUUAGCUAGUUGGCGGGGUAACGGCCCACCAAGGCAACGAUCAGUAGCUGGUCUGAGAGGAUGAUCAGCCACACUGGAACUGAGACACGGUCCAGACUCCUACGGGAGGCAGCAGUAAGGAAUAUUGCUCAAUGGGAGAAAUCCUGAAGCAGCAACGCCGCGUGAGGGACGAAGGGCGUUUGCUUGUAAACCUCUGUAGUGAGAGAAAAAAAUCCCAAUCUUUGGGACAUGAUGGUAUCUCAAAAGUAAGCCCCGGCUAACUACGUG